rnacentral:rRNA from 1 species
UACCCGCUGAACUUAAGCAUAUCAAUAAGCGGAGGAAAAGAAACCAACCGGGAUUGCCUUAGUAACGGCGAGUGAAGCGGCAAAAGCUCAAAUUUGAAAUCUGGCGUCUUCGACGUCCGAGUUGUAAUUUGAAGAAGGCAACUUUGUAGCUGGUCCUUGUCUAUGUUCCUUGGAACAGGACGUCAUAGAGGGUGAGAAUCCCGUGUGGCGAGGAUCCCAGUUAUUUGUAAAGUGCUUUCGACGAGUCGAGUUGUUUGGGAAUGCAGCUCUAAGUGGGUGGUAAAUUCCAUCUAAAGCUAAAUAUUGGCGAGAGACCGAUAGCGAACAAGUACAGUGAUGGAAAGAUGAAAAGAACUUUGAAAAGAGAGUGAAAAAGUACGUGAAAUUGUUGAAAGGGAAGGGCAUUUGAUCAGACAUGGCGUUUGCUUCGGCUUUCGCUGGGCCAGCAUCAGUUUUAGCGGUUGGAUAAAUCCUCGGGAAUGUGGCUCUGCUUCGGUAGAGUGUUAUAGCCCGUGGGAAUACAGCCAGCUGGGACUGAGGAUUGCGACUUUUGUCAAGGAUGCUGGCGUAAUGGUUAAAUGCCGCC